GCGGGUCAAGCCGGAGGAAGGUGGGGAUGACGUCAAGUCAUCAUGGCCCUUAUGUCCAGGGCUACACACGUGCUACAAUGGUCGGUACAAAGGGUUGCGAUCCCGCGAGGGUGAGCCAAUCCCAAAAAAGCCGGCCCCAGUACAGAUAGGAGUCUGCAACUCGACUCCUUGAAGGCGGAAUCGCUAGUAAUCGCUGAUCAGCUGGCAGCGGUGAAUACGUUCCCGGGCCUU
rnacentral:rRNA from 1 species